rnacentral:rRNA from 1 species
UACGUAGGGGGCAAGCGUUGUCCGGAAUUAUUGGGCGUAAAGAGCGUGUAGGCGGUCCGGUAAGUCGGCUGUGAAAAUCCGGGGCUCAACCCCGGACUUGCAGUGGGUACGGGCAGACUAGAGUGUGGUAGGGGAGACUGGAAUUCCUGGUGUAGCGGUGGAAUGCGCAGAUAUCAGGAGGAACACCAAUAGCGAAGGCAGCUCGCUGGGACGUUACUGACACUGAGGCGCGAAAGCGUGGGGAGCGAACAGG